rnacentral:rRNA from 1 species
CAUGUCUUUUUGUUAAUGAUUUAAAGUCUGGCCUGCUCGAUGAAUUUUAAAUUGCCGCAGUAUUUUGACUGUGCAAAGGUAGCAUAAUAAUUAGUUUCUUAAUUAGGAGCUUGAAUGAAUGGUUUAACAAGAAAAUUUCUGUCUCUAUUUUAUUUUUUAUUGAAUUUUAUUUUUAAGUUAAAAAGCUUAAAUUUUUUUAAAAGACGAGAAGACCCUAUAGAGUUUUAUUUUUUGAUUUAUUUAUAAUUUAGGAAUUUAAUUAGAUUAAAUUAUUUAGUUGGGGUGACUCAUGGAUUUAUAAAAUUCUUUGAUUAUAAUAUUGUUGAUUUUUAAAUUUAUUUUCUGUAUUUUCAAGUUUAAAUUAAAUUACCUUAGGGAUAACAGCGUAAUUUUCCUUUAAAGUUCUCAUUAAAAGGAGAGUUUGCGACCUCGAUGUUGGAUUAAAAUAAAUUUUUGGUGCAGUAACUUAGGGAUUAGGUCUGUUCGACCUUUAAAAUUUUACAUGAUCUGAGUUUAGACCGGCGUGAGCCAGGUUAGAUUCUAUCUUUAGAAUUUUUUAAUAUUUUAGUACGAAAGGACCAAGUAUAGAUUAUAAUAAUUG